UACGUAGGGGACAAGCGUUGUCCGGAUUUAUUGGGCGUAAAGAGCGUGUAGGCGGUUAGGUAGGUCCGUUGUGAAAACUCGAGGCUCAACCUCGAGACGCCGAUGGAAACCAUCUAACUAGAGUCCGGAAGAGGAGAGUGGAAUUCCUGGUGUAGCGGUGAAAUGCGCAGAUAUCAGGAAGAACACCCGUGGCUAAGGCGGCUCUCUAGUACGGUACUGACGCUGAGACGCGAAAGCGUGGGGAGCGAACAGG
rnacentral:rRNA from 1 species